AGAGAUGAAGCCAACAUAGCUCUGUGUCUCACCCAAGGCCUGCUGUAACCACUCCCUGGACAGCAUUGAAUUCAGAGCCUCACAAUUGCUGUGUUCUACUUCGCCUAGCAACCAGAGAUGAUCCCUGCAACAUGCUGCUGUUGCUGGGAGUGGGAAAGAGGUGGCAUCGGCGGUUCAAGACUGAGUUUUCUAUCUCUUCAGUGCCUCUUUCAACAAUGAAGAUCAAACCAGGUUUUGUGCAAAUAUCUGCUGAGUGAACUACUUAUUUGAAAAUACAUCAUUGGUUAAUAUUCCCUUUUGCUCAUUGAAAUCUCAAAGACUACAGACCCCGCACAAGACAUUCUGACAUUCCCGUCUUUGAAAUGAAUGACAGCAAUGAUAAAUAUGGCUCACCUCCAGAGAUACAGAUCUCACAACUUCAUAUUUUUAAUAUAAAUUAUUAAUCUGAGGUGUGGUGCAAUUCCAUUAGAUGAAAGAGAUCUACACAUUCAGAAGCACAUGAUUCUUCCCCCUUCCAUGAUUCCAGUGGCCAAUAGACAAACUACAAUAAAGCCAUGCCCUGACUGGAUGUGCCUAACAUUUGUCUGGUGCUUAAAGGAGUUGGCUGCAUGCGUGGAAAUGUUGGAAAGUCACCAAAAAUAGUUCUCCAAGUCAGAAGCGGUGCAAAAGCUGCCUCAGCUCUUGGUGGAUUUUCAAUUUCUCCCAGCCAUCUCUGUUUCGCUAAAGGUUUCUGAAGACAGUGGGGGAAGCUUUUUUCUCCUCCCCAUCCUGAUCACUAGUAUGAGAAGGGGUGCUAAUGGACCAGCCUUGGCCUUGCAGAUGAAGAUGAUGAAGGAAGAAGAUGUAUAAAGAACCUCUGAAAGAGUCCCAGUUUUACAUUUCAAAGUCUUUUUCCUUCUGUUGUUUAUUGUGUUGGGUUGGAGUGGAGGAUAUUUGAUGGAGAAUUGAUUCUGAAACUUGCCAAAAUAUGGAUAAUACUUUGCUCCUUUUCCAUUGUGGGUUAUCACAAAGAAGAGUUUCACUUUUAGUCAUCUAUUUACAGGGACAUGGAUGAAGCUGCAAGCCAUCAUUCUCAGCAAACUAACACAAGAACAAAAAACCAAACACCAUAUGUUCUCACUCAUAAGUGGGAGUUGAACAUUGAGAACACACGGACACAGAGAGGGGAGCAACACACACCAGGGCCUGUUGGGGGCAAGAUAAUGAAGAUAUUAUACCAUUAUAUGCUCUUGAAUCUGUCUCAUUGUGACUUGGCGAAGAGGCAGUGAAUCUGCCAAAAAGAAGUAGAGCAGCUGUGAAGAUGCCAACACAAUUGAGUACUCUUUCUCUACAUAUUUCUAAAUAUGGCAAUUUAUUGGACACUUAUGAGCAUGGAAUGACAAUGGGGUCAAUUUAACCAUACGGCAAUGCUGAGACACCUUCAUUAUGACCUUUCCCUGGUAUAAGUUAUGUGAUAAUGAAUGCAUGUUUAGUCACACACUGUAGGUACAGAUGGGAAAAAAGAAAGCAUAAAAUAUAAAACAUGAUGUCCAGGUUUCAAAUAAGAA
ensembl:lncRNA LINC01192 long intergenic non-protein coding RNA 1192